UACGAAGGGGGCUAGCGUUGCUCGGAAUCACUGGGCGUAAAGCGCACGUAGGCGGAUCUUUAAGUCAGGGGUGAAAUCCUGGAGCUCAACUCCAGAACUGCCUUUGAUACUGGGGAUCUCGAGUCCGGAAGAGGUGAGUGGAACUCCGAGUGUAGAGGUGAAAUUCGUAGAUAUCGGGAGGAACACCGGUGGCGAAGGCGGCGACCUGGGUAGAUACUGACGCUGAGGUGCGAAAGCGUGGGGAGCAAACAGG
rnacentral:rRNA from 1 species